AGUAAACACUUCCAGACUUUCAAGAUGUUUUCCAGAGCUGUGAUGAUGAUGGUGUUGGUGGUGGCCGCUGUCCUGGUGGCGGCCCUGGCCGGUCCCGUGGCAGCCCCAGUAGGCAACCCCGGAUUUCUUGGAGGAUACGGUGGAUAUGGUGGAUAUGGAGGAUAUGGUGGCUAUGGAGGAUAUGGUGGAUAUGGUGGCUACGGUAGAUAUGGUGGCUUUGGACGCGGAUUUGGAUUCGGAUUCGGCCGCUGAGAUUAAACACAGGCAGAGUUGUGCUGUUAUGCUCCCGGGACCCUUCCAACCAGCAGUACAUAAUUAUUUUUUAAUAAAUAUUUUAAUAUAA